rnacentral:rRNA from 1 species
GUAUAAGAGACAGCAGCAGCCACGGUAAAACGGAGGGUGCAAGCGUUAAUCGGAAUUACUGGGCGUAAAGCGCACGCAGGCGGUUUGUUAAGUCAGAUGUGAAAUCCCCGAGCUUAACUUGGGAACUGCAUUUGAAACUGGCAAGCUAGAGUCUUGUAGAGGGGGGUAGAAUUCCAGGUGUAGCGGUGAAAUGCGUAGAGAUCUGGAGGAAUACCGGUGGCGAAGGCGGCCCCCUGGACAAAGACUGACGCUCAGGUGCGAAAGCGUGGGGAGCAAACAGGAUUAGAUACCCCGGUAGUCCCUGUCUCUUAUAC